UGCUGUCAUUCAAACUUGCCUAGAAUGCAAACUGCCUGAACAAGCCUUUGCUUAAGCUCACCAAGCUGAAGGUAGCAGUACUACAGCAACUCCUCUGUGAUUGCAGUUGCAAGGGUGAGUGAGGCCAUGGCCCAGGUUCUAUCCUAUAAUGCUUUGUGGAGGCAUUACAUGACUGAUCUCAACACGAAUACAUGAACCUCAGAUCAUGUACCACACCGGGAUUCAUCCAGCACUUUGAGAGCAGACACCAGCAGCCAAGCAUUGGUGAGUCCCCAGCCUUAAUUUGAAACUGGUUCUUAAAGGAGGAAGAGGGUGAGGGCUGAGGGAGGAGAAUGAACAUUGGAGAGAGAGCUUGCAAGGAAGGAAAAGGAGUUUGCGACACCACAUCUCAACACAGCUUAAACAUCAUUUAAAUAAGGAUUAUAAUGAAAAACUGCACUUGCUCUAUCAGCUUUCUUCACAAAUCACAGCCACCAGAACAGGACAGUAGAACAGAUACUUGCCUAUUCAAUCUGAUGUUGACUUGCAGUUGUAUCCCUCGGAAGCAUUCUCAAGCAGCAAAACCAAGGCUUUAUCACAGCCCCACUACAACCCCACAGAAAUUAUACUACUUUUGGGGAAAGCAUAGGGCAAAGAGAGAAAGGAAUUUACAAUCCUUACACAGCUAUUAGAACUGCUUCUGUAAAAAGAAAUGCCAAGAGCAGCACAGCUCAGCAAAGCCAUUCUUUUAGCCACAAAUACUCUUUAAACAAAAACAUGGAUGUAAUAAAGGAUAUUUGGGACUGAAAAAUAAGAAGCAUAACAGGACCACAGAAUAAGAAAUUCCGUAUGACACACUGGAUUCUCACAUGAAAAACAGUCUAAGAUGUCUUUCAUUAUUUUGGUCUGUGUAUCUUAAAGAACACAAAGUGAAUAUACAAAAGGCUUCUCUCCUUAGAAGAGCAUUAUCCUUUCAUGUGUGGCAGUAUGUUUGAUUGAAGACCAGCAACAUAAGGGAUAAGGUGGCCUGUCUGUACUGGAUGAGAUGUGAAAUGACAAGGGACUCGAUAUGUUUUGUGAAGGUGCCUUUACGUUCAAUUAUACUAGUUUUUAAGCUGUUUGCAUGUGAAUAUAUUUACACAUUCAGUAUUUUGGUCAUGUAGCUUUGGUCACACAUGGUGGGGUUUAUAGUACUUUAUACAUUCCUCUAUAAAUAGGUGCUGAGAAUAUCCUGCCCCAUCUCAGCAUCUGACUCCUAGAUGUAACAUUCACAGAUGGAACUCCCUUGAGUCAAGCAAAACUGAAUGUUUACAGAUGUGCUUGCCAGAUCUAUUGUGCUAGAAAAUCUUGCCAAAUCAUGACUCUUUUACUAAAAUGAGGAAGAGUUCAUAAAAUGGGAAUCCAUGUUUGAUGGGAAACACGUUGCUGAAGAAUACCAUCACAUUGUGAAACAGGAAAAAAAAAAGUAAAGAACAGUUCUACUAUGUCAGUAGAGGCCACUUUUCUCUUAUUUUGUAGAGGCAAGCUAAUCAGCCACAACCAUGGUUAUUUAGCUUUCCCCAUAACUAGGCUACUGUGGACCAGCAGGACACUUCACAAGUGGAUGUAAUCAGAACAUAUUUCAUUCCAUGGCACUCACGGUAAGGAGUUUCCUUCAUCUGCACAUGCCAUCUAUAGUGACGAUGCUCCUUUCCAGGUUGGAAACAGCUAGUACAAGCAACAAAACAAGUGGCUCAGUGUGAUGUAGCUGUCUAGAGAAGUGCCUUGUUGCACAUACCUCAGAGCAGUUUCACACCAGCUCAAUUUUGAGGGAGCUCCAUAUUCUCCAGGAAGACUUUGGCACGCAGUAGAUUCCCAGACUUCAUCUCUUCGUCUCAAAAUAAAAGCAUUGUGCUAGGAAUGGAAAUAUUUAGUUAUUUUCCUGUCAGUGCUGUAUAUUGUCAUUUUGUCUAUUUUUGACUAUGGUAUUUUUUUUUCUUUUCCCUGCAUCACCCUAAUGCCAAUGAAACUCAUUAUUUCCAAGUGUUUAGAGUCCCCAGAACAUGAACAGAGUAUGUCAGCUGCAAAUGAGGAUUUCUUCAUGUAGACAGGUAUUUGCCCCCAUAAGCUGCCUUGCUACACUGUUAACUGAAUUAACUGCUUUAAGAAGGACCCCAUACUUAGGAUGAAAACCUGAACCAACCUCCUUAAAUAUGUCUUUAAGGACCACCUAGUGGACAAACUUUAUACAGCAGUUUUAUGUAAUAGUAUCUCUGCACUACACACUCCACUCCUCUGGAAAAAAAGAAAACAAGCAAACCCAUGCUGGAUCUCUGUGGGAAUGUAAAGGAGAGGUGAAGAAAUGUACUCGGAUCCUUGCUACAAACUGUUAGAUAAUGUUCACUUUCUCUUGACAAAUGUCAGUGUAGAAAUAAAAUUUAUUUGCCCAAAUGGAUACAUUAAAAAAAAAAAUGCUGAUUUUGUUGCUUUUGUCUUACAUGGAGAAAGACUGGAACAGAUGGAUGUUUAAACAAAAAUGACAAAACCUGCUUCUACCAGAUAUGUGUCAAAAUUCGUGAAAUAUCUGCUUAGUUCUAGCAGGACUACAUUCUAUGCAACCAAGUGCUGUGUCUUCAGUCCCCCAUCCACAGUGAAUUGUAAAACAGAAGCAAGCAGCAUCUAUAUUAAAAACUAAUGAUGUAAAAAAUAUCUUCAGUAAUAAUAAUCUAAAAUGCUAGUAACCUCAGACAUGCUGCCUUCCUCCAUUAUGGAAAUUUAAAAAUGUAUUUUCUCAAUUCAACAGCAUCUACACAGUUAGCAAUACAUAUUCACCCUAUUAUAUAAAGCAUAGCUGGCCAUGUGAAAUGCAAAGCUAUCGCCUAUGUUAUAAAGAAUAAAGAUGUAUUUGUUUGUCUUUAUAGAAAGAUUUCCCCAAUUUAUCUUCAUUCAGAUUUGUUAAAUAUUCAUGUAUUCACUGCAGAAUCUUGCAUUUUUCCCUAUUCUGCACUCAGACAAAGUGUUAACAAGCGACCUCAACUAUAUUCUGCAUUUUUCUGUCAUUUGCUUGUUUCUAAAUAUAUCACGAAGCUCUUGCAUGCAGCCUGAUGGAAGUAUUUUUUCCUCUUGUCCUUUCCGCCACUGGCACAAAACAGCACAUUUGGUAAAACAGGACAAAGGAGUUUGAUGCUUUGUUUGAUGCCACUUAUUCUGCUGUCUCGCAGAUACUAGAAACAAGGGCAGAAAUGCAAAUGAUUUUUUGCACAGCAUUCCCUACCACACUUAAAUGGUUACAUUUCUCAUUGUUCCUUUUUAUAACCAGGACUGCCUCUGUACCACUUAUAUGGACCAGGGCUGACUAAUUCAGGAAAAAUGUUUGCACACAGAAGUAAUAUGCUUUAAUGGAAAUUCACACACAACAAGUUAUUUCCGUGGAAUAUUCCAUUGCUGAAGAAGCAGAUGACAGAACAGCAUCAUCAUGUUUGAAGCUGGAGCCUUCUGUAAGUGGAAAAUACACGCUUCAGCAGCUACCUCUUUCUAGAAGCUGAACUGGGCUAGUUCAGUCUGAUAGACAAUUUAGAAUUUGAACAGGUUUGCUAAUGAAAGUAAGGGCUUUCAAAAACACAUCACUGCCAUAGAUAGGGCCACAGUCCCCUAAGGUCUGUCUUUCUUGGCCUGAAAAGCUGUUUUCACAUUAGGGUUUAUGCCACAUAACCAGGGUACUGCUGUUCUACAGAGAUACUGAUUAAUUUGAACCCUGAGAAACGAGAGGCAGGGAGUGGGGCAGCAAACCCCUAACUCCAACAUUUCUGGGUUAUCUUAGGAUUCGGCUUCCAACCCAGUCCAGCCCAGUUGAACCCUACCUUGCAGCAGACUGGUGGGAUGUUGGGUGCCACUUGUGAAUCUCUGCAAAGUUCAUAGCCCCUUUACCCUCUAAGGUGGCUCGGAGGGUAAGGGAGGUUGGCCAGCUGCAUUCCAACAGAAAUGAAAGGCUGGAUUUUACCUGUGGGAUUCAGAAAAGAUAUGCACAUUCUAAAUUUUGGAAAAAAAAGCUUCUCCAAAACAACACACAAACAACACUCCAUUUACUUGAAACAUGGAGCUAGCAGAUGAGAACAAAGAAUAAAAUAUGAUUAUAAAAAGCCCAGAAUAGUUGCAAUGAAUACAAACUGAAUAAAGUGGGAAAAUAAACUCGUUUGAAGUCUGCUUGACACUGAAAGGGCUUCUACAUGAAUGAACUGCAAUUGCUUCAGGAACAUGGGUGCUGUUGAGAUCUUUGCUACCUUUAAAUAAAAUAUAUGAAAUUAUUGAGAUUAAAAAAUUAAGUGUAAGGUGCCUUAAUAAAAUUCCCCAUUGCACACAG
rnacentral:lncRNA from 1 species